rnacentral:rRNA from 1 species
UACGAAGGGGGCUAGCGUUGCUCGGAAUCACUGGGCGUAAAGCGCACGUAGGCGGCUUUUUAAGUCAGGGGUGAAAUCCUGGAGCUCAACUCCAGAACUGCCUUUGAUACUGAGAGCUUGAGUCCGGGAGAGGUGAGUGGAACUGCGAGUGUAGAGGUGAAAUUCGUAGAUAUUCGCAAGAACACCAGUGGCGAAGGCGGCUCACUGGCCCGGUACUGACGCUGAGGUGCGAAAGCGUGGGGAGCAAACAGGGUAGUAAGCAAACCGUUGAUACCGUUCCAAGUCACCA